UGGGGAAUUUUGGACAAUGGACGCAAGUCUGAUCCAGCCAUGCCGCGUGCAGGAUGAAGGCCUUCGGGUUGUAAACUGCUUUUGUACGGAACGAAAAGACUCCUUCUAAUAAAGGGGGUCCAUGACGGUACCGUAAGAAUAAGCACCGGCUAACUACGUGCCAGCAGCCGCGGUAAUACGUAGGGUGCGAGCGUUAAUCGGAAUUACUGGGCGUAAAGCGUGCGCAGGCGGUUAUAUAAGACAGAUGUGAAAUCCCCGGGCUCAACCUGGGAACUGCAUUUGUGACUGUAUAGCUAGAGUACGGCAGAGGGGGAUGGAAUUCCACGUGUAGCAGUGAAAUGCGUAGAUAUGCGGAGGAACACCGAUGGCGAAGGCAAUCCCCUGGGCCUGUACUGACGCUCAUGCACGAAAGCGUGGGGAGCAAACA
rnacentral:rRNA from 1 species